CCUAAUCGAAUUUGGUCCCAACCCCAUUCCUCAACAUCUCCAUUCAUAUACACCUCUAUUUCCGGCAACACCACAACUACCACCGAUUAUCACCUCAUGUCCAUUUCCUCCCUCUCUAGCUUCUCCCCUGUUCUCCACCUCAUCCCCAAGUAGUUUUAGAUAUCGAUGCCGCCUUCAACUAUCACCACACUAAACCUACCCCCUCUGCCAUUUUCUUUUUCCCGUGACAACUAAUCAAUGAAUUAUUGUCGAAGAACAUAACCCAACUCCUAAGCAUCUGCGUCUUCCUCUGUACUCACGUUCCCAUAUGAUGAAGGUAAGACCAACAAUUUGAUUUCAUAUAUUCCAAUUUUAGGGUUUUCAAGUUCCGAUUUUAAGGGUGUCAAGGUCCGAUUUCAUGGGUUUCAAGGUCCAAUUUCAGAUGAUGAACAUGAAUAUCUUUAAAUGUGUAUUUUCUGGGUUUUAAAGGUCGGAUUUCAGGGUUUUCAUGCCCGAUUCUGUGAAGGAAAAUUGUGCUUGAUGGAUGGAGGUUCGUGUUUUCUCUUUCUGAUAGGAUUUGUUUUCGAAAAAAAUACAUCUAGAUAAUCGAAAUGGUUUUCGAAGAAGAUGAUGAUGAAUAUCUGGGAUUUGAGCUGAUGAACCUAUGAAGAACGGUAGAUCUUUUUUGUGAAGAUCAUCGAUGAACAUAUGAAGAUAUACAGUGUUUCAACAAGAAGAUGUGUUGUAAAUGAAGAUAUAUGGUUGAUAAUGAAAGAUGUUAUCAACCGUUGAUGAGGAGCUCAUUGUGUCAAACUAUUAUUUCAUUGCAAUCCGGGAUUUUUUUUCAUGUUAUUUGUGUGUGUGAGAGAGAGAGUGGGUGGACUCUUCCUUCUAUUUUUCUUUUCUUUUGCUUUUUUUAGUUAUAAAACAGUUAAAACAAAUAAAAAAAUGUGAAAAAUAAAUAAUAAGGACAAAAUAGUCCUUUCAUA